UCCUUCUUGCUCAUGAGCAAUUCAAGCUGCAAGUUAGAUUGAUGAAGGCUUCUUCCCUGCAUGGGAUUGUGAGACCACCCAAUGGAUGAUCAAACCCGAAUUCUUCUUCAGCCUGACUUAGCAAGCUUUGGAAUGAAGGGUGCUUCAAGUAUGAAAUUGGAAUCACAAAUCUCUUCUUCUGAGUUUCUCCAACAUAGACAGGAACAUAGCCUUUGGGCACACUUGUGGACUCUGGAGAUGGAAGGAUGCGUCUCAGGAUCUGCUUGGCAGGAAUAAUCCUCUGAAAACGGAUGGCCAUGAGUUUCAAACUUAGUUCUUUGAACGAAAGUGAUGAUGAAAAAUGGAUUCUAAGAGUUUAGAAAACAAGAAAGCUUUGGGACUUGAUGGAUAUGCCCUUAGAAGAGGUAUAUUUAUAGAGUAAUGCUAUAUGGUCGGUAUUCUCCAAUGGAAUGAAUGGUGAAGAGGCUACAGCAAUGGGGUCCCUUGAAGAGGAUAUAUCACAUGGCUUUGCCUCCCAACUAAUAAUAAGAUUUUGACAGCAUUCAUACUGAUAUACAUUUGUUGCUUCAUCAUUGCCUACCUCUUAGCAAAACAAUCAACAGAGCCCCACUCCACUUGAAAUUAUUUUGUAUUGCAUCCAGCUGAUAUAACUAGCUGUGUUAUAACUUAAGACUACUGCAUAUCAGAACAGCCAAGUUAUCUUUUGAUGUCAUGAUCUUUCUUGUUGCCACACAGGUGGGGUAUUUGUGCUGAGGGUGACCUUUCAUCUUGAAUUUGUUGGGAUGAAAGAUAGAAUGGAAGCAUUGAACCAGCAGAGCAUAUGUUAUUGUUCCAUGAUCUGAUGUCUAGACUCAAACCGACCAGAUUCACCAAACCCUAGCUAAGCAUGAAUUGGAUAAAGGAGGCUUUCAUUUCACUGGUCAACUCAAAAAUUUCAAUUCUUAGACCAAGUACCACCACUAGCAGCCUAAGUACUUGGCAACAAGAUAAGGAAUCUUAGCGACUAAAGCGUUGAAUUGCAAAUGAUUAGAAGCCUGUAUAUAACUUAGCAUAUAUAUAUAUAUAUAUAUAUGUUCAUAUAUUUGGAGAUUUGUUUCAGAAAACACACUGUUUGUCUAAAUGCAUCCUAAUAGGAAAUCAUGUUGCAGCUUAUAGAAAUGGUGAGUACUGCUGGAUCUUGAUGGUACCUUGCGUUGUUUAAAUUGAUGGAGCUAUAACUAUAGCAGAGAAUAUAGCAUUUUGGUCUCUCAAAAACAAUUCAUCAGGUGAAAUAAACAAGAAAGAUAUGACAACGUAAUUUCUGUCAUUUUCUCAUGUAGUGUAACCUAUAUUCUCUCUCUCUCAAAAAAAAAAAAAAAAAAAAGUUACACAGAAAGGAGAAAAGGAUAUACAUGGGAUUGCAUUCAUUCUUUACAAAAUUGUCAACAGUGAAAUGAGAAGUAAGAUUGAGGAAAAUAUCUUCUCUGCAAGGGAUUCUGGGACAGCCCAUUGGAUGAUCAGAUCCAAAUUCUUCUGCCUUAUGGAGAAGCACUUGGAAUGUAGGUAGGUUCCAGUAACCUUCUGAAUAUCUGCAGCUGCUGAAACUGCUCUUGCAGUCAUAAUAGAUUUGUGGAGAAUUUAAUUUCUUAGCAUGAACAAGACCAGCUGGAAGGUGGACGACCCAUAAUUUUUUAUAGGUAAAUCUCUUCAACAGAAGAAUGAACAAGCUUGGGCAAGCUUCGGCUUGCAAAACAGAGAAAGCUUUGGAAGUAGAGAAUUUGAACACCUAUGUUGAUUGUAAUACUAGCAUACGAGUAUAUAUAGAAGGAAUGGUAUAUUUGAAUAAAUUGUGGAAGGAGUGGUAUGAAGAUAUUUGGAUAGUAGAUGCAUAUGAAUAUUUGUACAAAAAAAUGACCCACUUGAAAUCAAGAAGAUAGGAGAAACUCUUUUUGAUUUAAGAACAGUACAAAGCUCAAUAUGUACAUGCACUAGUAGCAUGCUUGAGACAUCUGAUUCUUUUCAGUCUUCUUAGCAAGGAACCAUAUAUUAGACAUGCAAGCCUAUCUAAAUAACAACUUGGUUUGAAUUGAGUCUCCCCCAGCUUGAACUCACCUGUCAAUCCUACCAAGUGAUUUGAACAUGAUUCUCUCCUGACAGAACAGAUACUGGCUCAGUUGAUGCAGAUGAAUUAUGAAUAUAUACACUCUAAAUUUUAAAUCACUGAUCGGCUCUGAUAUUAAUUAAUGUUCAGAUAAACAAUAAAGGAAUUCAAGGUAUAUUUAUAGCUGGAGGUAAAAGGAAAACAGCAGUUAACAUAUCUCCAACAGAAAUCACUGGCAAUGCGCUACUUUAGUACACCAACUAGCAAGGGACACCCUUUUGAAGAGCACAUGAAGUGUCUCCCACUACCCCCUAGGCAGUGGGAUCCAUUUUAACCACCAGAGUGCUAUUGUUACAGAUGAUGUUAUUCUAAGGAAAUGAAAUUCAAUAUUGCAAAGCAAUCCUUGAUUGAAAUUUGAGCUCUAGGUUGAGAACAGAGGAAACAGAUUAAAUCAAUGGGAAAGCAGAAAAGUAAGAGAUUCUAUUUGAUCCUUUUAUAUGAAGAGAAUUGGCUAUCAACUUUCUUUACAGAAAAAAUGUAUAAAAUAAUUUUACAAGUGGAAAUGAAACAGCCCAGUUCUCCUAAUCCAAAAAUGGAGACUGGUUUAUGAGUCAAUGGCGUUAGAGACUCUGCAUCCUAGAGCCUAGUCAUUUGCAUAUCUUUCUCCUCUCAUGGGCUGUUCAAAUAACAACUGAGAUUAAUAAAGGCUUCUUCUGUGCAUGGGAUUGUGAGACCACCCAUUGGAUGAUCAAACCCGAACUCUUCUUCAGCCUGACUCAACAGGGUCUGGAAUGCAGGAUUCUUCAAGUAUGAGAUUGGAACCACAAAUCUCUUCUUUUGGAUUUCUCCCACAUAAACAGAAAAAUAGCCUUUAGGCACAUUCUUGGACUCAGCACCCACAUGUGCCCGCUGCAGGAUCUGCUUAGCAUUAACAAUUCCAGGCAAAUGAAAACCCAUGACUUCUAUGGACUCAGAAAAGUAAAGGUAAGGAAACUGGUACUCUGAGAUCUCUUAGAAUAAGAAAAGUUUGACAGUGGGAUACCAUAUCCAUAGGAUGAGUAGAAUAUAUAUAGAGCAAGCAAAUUCUGUAUGGCCAAUAUUCUUUGGUGUUGAGAAGUCUCUAAUGUUAGGGUCCAUCUGUAGACAUUCAUGACAAGGGUUCACAUGGUUUUGCUUCCCAACUAAUAAUAUGAUUUUCAGUGGUCUUCCUUCUGAAAUUUAUUUGCUGGGAUCAUCAUGGCCUACUUCUUAACUAUCAAAACUAAUUUGAAAAGCCCACUUGAAAUUACUUGUUUAGUUAUCUGGCAAUUAAUCUGACUCUUGAUCUAUAUCAGCCAACAGGUGGGGACAAUGUUCAUUGAUGCACUAAGAAUAGCUCACCCAUAGUGUAUGUUUGAAAUUUGUUGGGGUUCUAAAAAACACAAAUUAUCAGCUCAUGUGAUGAUGUUUCUUGAAAUGAAUUAUCCAUAUAGGCAAUCAUAUUAUUUAAAGUACUUGUCAAGGUGUUAAACAACAAAGUGAAACAAAGGAAAAUGUAAUGGCAACUGGCAAGGAAUGGAUUUGAUAAUAAAACAAUGCCCGUCUCCUGUCCCCAUUUGUCCUACCAUUGGAAAUGCCUCACUCGGUUUUCAGACUCGAACAUAAUCCUUCUCAAUAGAUUCAAGUUCUAAAAUUCUGUUCAGAUGCUUUAUCAAAGAUAUAAUCAACAUUAGCACUUCUACAAACAUGCUGAUUGGUUUCUGAUGAGUUUGAAGAAUCCAAACUGUAAUAGACAUGACAAAAUGGGCACCACUUGCCUUUUAGAUGAUGUUGAAUUAUGAAGGUUCAAAGAAGGCCAUUCAUUUGAGAUUACAUUUACAUUUUGACUACUAUUUCUCUAAGCCAUCAGUUACAACAACAGGAAUAGGAUAUUCAAACUUCAAUUUAUUUAUUUAUUUUUAUUAAUAACCAUAAUCAUAAGUUGUUCUUUCCUAAGAUGUUACCGAAUAUGCCCUUAGUUGAAGAUUUAGUUUUACCAGAAUGAUAGAAACCGAAAUGUUUAAACAAAGAUUAAUAGAUUUUGAAGGGCAAAUGAAGUAACUCUCUAAAUAGAUUUGGUCUUGUGGCAAUAACUUUUACUAAAUGGCUGUCAGGGAAAGACAAAUAACAUAAGAAAAAGGUAAAGCUAUUAAAUUAAGAUGAACAAAUUUGGUUGCAAACUUGUUUUCCAGAAAAAUAGAAUAAAUAUACAUUGUUCUCUUAAGGAAAAAGAAAAAAGGAAAAAAAAAAAAAAAAAAACCAACUCAUAAUUCAAAAAUUGUUGGGUUGGUUUCUGUGGUCAAUGGUGUUAUAGAUUUGGUAUCCUCCAGGCUGAUCAUUAUGUGACUCUCCUCCUUGCUCAUGAGCAAUUCAAGCUGCAAGUUAGAUUGAGGAAGGCUUCUUCUCUGCAUGGGAUUGUGAGAUCCCCCAGUGGAUGAUCAAACCCGAACUCUUCCUCAGCCUGACUUAGCAAGUUUUGGAAUGAAGGAUGCUUCAGGUAUGAAAUUGGAAUCACAAAUCUCUUCUUCUGAGUUUCUCCAACACAGACAGGAACAUGGCCUUUAGGCACAUUUGUGGGCUCUGGAGAUGGAAAAAUGUGUCUUAGGAUCUGUUUGGCAGGAAUAAUCCUCUGAAAAUGGAUGGCCAUAAGUUUCAAACUUAGUUCUUCAAACUAAAGUGGUUGUGAGAGAAGGUUUUCUAGGUGUUUGGGAAGUAAGAAAAGCCUUGAUACCUGGUGGAUAUGCCCAUAGAAUAGAUGUAUUUAUAGAACAAAUGCAAUAAGGCCAGUUUUCUCAAAUGGAAUGAAUGAUGAAAAGACAAUUGCAAUGGGGGUCCGGGUCCCUUAAAAAAGACAUAUCACAGGGCAUCACAAGGUCUUGCCUCUGAUGCUUUCAUAUAUUUGUUGGUACAUCUUGGCCUACCAUUUAACAGAACAAACAGAGUAGCCCCACUCAAAAUUAUUAUCAUUGUAUUGCAUCCCACUGAUUAUAAUGUAUCGAAUUGAUCAUGUGGACAAAAACAUAACUAGAAGGACUAAAAUGCAGACCAGACUUCUCAUAAUAAUGGACAAAAUGCUACAAACUAUAGCAGACCACAAGUACCAGAUGUGUUAUAUAGGUUAUGACAGUACCAAAUAUCAGAGAAGACAAGUUAUCCUCUAAUGUGAUGUUUUUUGCUACCAUACAAGUAAGAAAUUAGUGCUGAGUCCGAGUCUUCAGCCUGAAUUUAGAGAGGCGAAAGAUUGAAUGGACUCAUUGAACCGACAUGGCAUAUGGUAUUAUUCAAAUGAUGCUGAUGUCUAGACUCGAACAUACCUGAUAGUGACCAAACCCUAGCAAAACAUAAAUUGGAUAAAGAAGCCUUUUAUUUCAACAGUCAAGUCAAAUAUUUCAUACCAUAUAUAUAUGGUAUUGUUCUCAUUUAGGAAAACCUGUUUUCUCUUAGAAAAGAAUUUAAGGAGGACAAAGGAGAAAAAAUGUACAUGGGAUUGCAUUUCCUUCCUUACAAAGUUGUCGUUUUUUCUUUUCAUUUCCUUUGGUAAGCACUUUUUAUACAUGCAGCCCCGUCAAACAAGAAGUAAGAUCUAGGAAAAUAUCUUCUCUGCAAGGAAUUCUGAGACCACCAUUUGAUGAUCAAAUCCAAAUUAUUCUUCUGCCUUGUGUAGUAGCUCUUGUAAUAUAGUAGCUCAAUUGUUGAAAUAUAUAUGAAGUCCUCUAACUCACUGUCCAGGGCAAAUCAAUCACAAAAUCAUAGUGCAGACCAGGUUCUGACAUGAAGUAAUGAUUCGUGAACUAAAAGAUAGUAUAGCCAGAUGCUGGAAGACAACCGAGAAAAUCAUACAAAUCCUCAUGUCUGAAUUCCCAUAAACCUGAACUAGACAAUGUAAUAUCUCUCUUCUUUCCCCUCUUGUCUGAAUUCCCCAUAAACCUGAACAUGUCCCAAGCCUUCCCUCCUAAGCAUUUUCCAUGCAUUUGAAUCAAGGAACUCAGUUGCAAGACUCCAUGUAUCACAUCUGUAAUGGGACACACCGCAUUGGAAUUCAUCUGUUUAUCUAGCUUAUAGAUCAGUUCAUCUCCAAAAUUUGAGAAACAUUAGCUCCUCAAGGCUUUAUCCUCCACCUCAUAGACGGUAAUUGCAAAGGUGUAUAUGUACAUAAUAUGCCCUGCCGUUUAUUAGAGAACUAUGAAAAAAGGAUCCACUUGAAACCCCAGAUAUGGAGAAACCUCUUGUUGAUUUAAGAACAGUACAAGCUCAAUCUAUUCAUGCAUUAGAGGCAUGCCUGAGAAAAUCUAAUUCCUUUCUGUCUUCUUGGGGAGGAGACAGAAUGGGGACUUCAUUGGCCACAUGGGUAACUUUCUUAUUACUAUUCACUUAAUUUCAUAGGUGCUGCCAUCCCACAUUAGACCAUUCAUAGCUAUGUAAAUAACAAUUCAUUUUCGACUGAGUUCUCAAUAGCUUGACCUCAAAUAGAUUGAAUUUUUUUCAUAUAUAUAUUUUUUUUAGAAAAAAAAACUGGGUUUUGAAUCUUUAACCAAAUCCAUAUACUCGGAAUAGAUUCAGAAUUUAAUUGAAUAGAUGUAUCUAGGGAGAAUUCACUUUGAAGCGACUAUUCCCUAGAUACACAUGCGGGAUAUUUUAUUUCACAAUUAAAUCAAUUUAAAUUUUAAAAAGACCUAAAGUUAGGGAUUUAUCAAUAGGUAAUGUUGCUCCAAUACCCAAUAAAAAAAAACGGUUGUCGCUACUGGACGACGAAAUGGAUUUUGGAAUUUAUUAACAUUUUCCAAAAAAACCUUUCAAUCCAACCAAAAAAUUGUGACACAAAAAUGACCGAGUAGUGUUAAGAGUAGAAUACAAGGGAAUGGCAUGGAAAAAAGUCAAAGUCAAAAGAAAUCCUUCAUAUUCUUUAUGUGAAGCUCAAAACAGAGAUCAUUGCUGUCAUGUGGCAUCCCAGUUUUCAUUUGCUUGGAAUUGUUAUUAGAAAAAGCGACCCUUCAUAUUGAAUUUGGAUAAUCUUUCUAGGAGGCCUUCAAAUUUGAGUCGGAGAAACACAUGGACAAGGACAUCUGAAUAAUAUGAUUGCCUAUAUGGCUAAUUUAUUCCAAGAAACACCAUCACAGGAACUGAUGAUGAUUUGUGUCUCAAUCUUAUUGUCUGCUAAUGUCAUAAGAAAUGAAUUACUGGUAAUUUUCGUGUUUAUCAGAACACCAACAAGCUUCAGACAUACAUCACUGGAAGGCUAUGGUUAGCCAAAUGAAUGUAGUCCCUACAAGUUGGUUGAAAUAGCAAACAGUUUCAAGUGGGCUUCUCCAGUUUGUUCUGCUAAAUUUAAGCAGUAGGCCAUGACAAGUCGUCAUUCAAUAAAUUUUCAGGAUUAAGACCACCAAAAUCUUAUUAUUAGUUGGUAGGCAAAGCCAUGUGAUCCCUUGUGUUGAAUGUCCACAGAUGGACCCUAUCAAGGACUUCUAUUCACACCAACUCCAUCUGAGAAUACUGGCCAUACAGAACAUGCUUCCUCUAUAUAUAUUCUACUCAUCAUAGGGAUAUGGCAUCCCACUGCCAAAGAUAUCUUUUUCUAACACAUAAGAGUACCAUUUUCCCUACCAUUACUUUUCUCUGAUCAUACGCUUCAUGGGUUUUCGCUUGCCUGGGAUUGUUAAUGCUAAGAAAACCCUGCAGCAAGAGCGCAAGGGUGCAGAGGCCAAAAAUGUACCAAAAGGCUAUUUUGCUGUUUAUGUGGGAGAAGUUCAGAAGAAGCGAUUUGUAGUUCCAAUCUCAUACUUGAAGAACCCUUUAUUCCAGAACUUGUUGAGUCAGGCUGAAGAAGAGUUCGGGUUUGAUCAUCCAAUGGGCGGUCUCACAAUCCCCUGCACAGAAGAAGCCUUUAUUAAUCUUACUUGCAGUUUGAACUGCUCAUGAGAGGAGAGGAAGAUAUGCAAAUGGCUAGUCAGUAGGACAUGUAAUUUCUAACACCACUGACUUGAAAUCCAGUCUCUCCAAUUUUGAAUUAGGAGAACUGGGUUGUUUCAUUCCCACUCGUUGUAACUUAUUCUAUACAAUUUUAGUCAAAUUUCUCCAUACAUAACAUUCAAACAGAAUCUUUGUUUUUCUUCUUUUCUCAUUGAUUUUGCUUCCCCUGGUCUCCUUGUAUAAGUAGUCACCAUGGAUAUGCACAUAAAUUUAAGAGAAACAAAAAAUCCCAGAAGUUUAGGCUUUCUUGAUGACUUUUAGCUCCUUCACUGCAGAUACUGAUGUGCAUAUGCCUGUCAUAAAUAUUUGGGCAGAAUAUGGUCACUUUCCACUUACGUCAACCAAAAUCUAAACCUUCAGUCCAGGAGUUGCUUUUCAAUUAUGGUCAGUGAAUAGACCCGCUGUAGGCGUUGGGGUCUUGUUUCUUCCUUUCUUUUUAUCAUCAUCAUCUCAUUUUCCCCAUUCGUUGCAGCUAUUAAAGCUAGAGGCUUAGCUUACUCUAUUCAAGACUAUAUUUGAAAACUAUUUUCAGUUCAACCAGACAUUAUCGAUUUUGAUAUUUUGCAAUGCAGUUUUACCAUAUAUACUGUAACCUUGAUGGGGUUAGGCCUGUUUUUCUUCCUACUUCUGUUCAGCAUCAUUGAAUAAAAAGGCAACAAAAAUUAGGGAAAAGUAGCAAGCUGCCAGGUUGUCAUUUCCUAGUGAUAAUAUAAUCCAUUCGACUUGCACCCUGGUAUUAAAAAUGGUCCAACUGUGAGUGGAACUAGUAGGAAUCAUUUCAUGUGCUCUUCACAAGGGUCCGUUGCAAGCUGUUGUACUAAAGCAGCUCACUGCCAGUGAUUUAUGUUGAUGACAUGUUAACAGCAGCUUUACUUUUUCAUUCAGCUGAGAUAUACCUUGAAUAUAUUUGAUUUUCAUGUUUGUUAUGGUUUAUGUUCAAUGUUUAUUUCCAUAUGGGUUGUUCUUUUAUGGUUCUUAAUCGACAAUAGGCUUCUCCUGUCUGCACAUCUUGGAUUUGGAGUGGGUCCCCUCCAAGAAAUGGUAGGGCAUCAUGUGUUUCAACAUUAUGGUAGGUCCCCUUCAGAAGGUCUUGUGUCUCAAAAGAAAAGUUCCCUGCCCUUUCAUCUAUAUAUACACUCAAUCUUAAAUUUGAAAUCAUAAGUCUUUGAUUGUCUACCACCAAAGAUUUAAUUCCUUCAUCCUACAUUUCCCCUAAAAUCUUUUUCUUGUUUUUUUACUAUAGAUAUAUUUGCAAUCUCCCCUAUAAAUCAUGGGCAUCUAUCAAAGAUCUGUGUGUUGAACACACUAUUCAAAUAGAGGAUCAGAGACAGUUCUGAAAUUGAAGAAACAAAUUAUCAAUUUAUCAUUCCUUUUCUUCUCAUCUCUUUAAGAACCACUUGACUAAAUCUUACCAGAAGAAAUUGGGAAGCUGAAAGCUAGACAUUUGAGGAUUUGAGAUGGAAAAAAUUUACAAUAUUGUAAGGUUUUCUACAUAGGAAGAAAUGAAUCUUUUUGUUCCCUCAGGUUAAGCUUGAGGCCAAGGGCGCUUGGUGUGCCUGCAAUAUGCUGCAAGUCAAACACUUGUGAGGCAGUUGGCUUCACGACACAAGGAUUAACCAAUAAAUUUGUUUAGGAUUUUGGGGAGCAUAUGUUUCAAACCAAGAAUGCCCACUUUAUGAAUAACAGAUGCUUUGUAUUUGGACUUGGAAUUCCUGAAGUUCCAUAGGCAUAUAAGUGCUAUAAGCCUAUAGUUUCCCUGUUUACCAACAAAAUGCUAUGUUCUUCCUUUUUCAAUAAGUACUGAUAGUAUUAAUUCUUCUAAAAGUUUCUAAGUCGUCAGUAGACGGCUAGUGUUUGUCCUUCAACAUGGCAGUGAAACAAAUCCCCAAUUAUUUGUACUACACCAUCUAAUGGAUAAGCUAUCUUUUGAAAGAUAUAAUGUGAUGGCCACGCAAUUAACUCAAAGCCAGAGAUAUCUAGGCUUCUAAUUAUUUGAAAUUUGACAAGUGUCACUAAGAUUCUUCAUCUCAGAAUCCAAAUAUUUAGGUUCCUGAUGGUUGUGUGUUGCCUCACAAUUGAAACAUUUGAGUUUGACCACUGCAAUAAAAGACUUUAUCCAAUUCAUCAUUUUCAGGGGUUUGGUGAUUCUAGUUGAUUUGGGUAUAGACAUAAACAUCAUAGAACCAUACCAUAUGUUAUGUUGGUAUGGUGCCUCUGUUCAGUCUUUCAUCUCCCAAAUUCUGGCUGAAGGUUGUAUUUGUUAAAAUCUGGAGAAAAAUAAGGAACUAAAACUUGCAGAAAAUAUUAGAGUACUGAGUUGGAGAAAGGCACACAAAUAUUUCACCAAUGAGAAUGCCUAUUUAUAGGCUUACAACCAAACUGAAAAUACUAAAAACUCUCAGCUGCUAUGACUACUUCUACUAACAGAAAAACUGAAAAUUAUGGAGCAAAACAGAGACUGAGUCUAACUAAGACAUUUUCAAAGGCAAACUCUCAUGAAUUCUAACAGUAUUCGGCCCCAGAUCCUCACUUGUCUGCUCUAAUAUUCAGCAGGGGUGGCCUGCUAUAGUUUGAAGCAUUUUGUCCUUGAAUACAAGAAACCUGGUCUAUAAGUUAGUCCCUGAAGUUAGGCUUUUAUCCAAAUUAUCAGUAGGAGAUAAAUUGCAUCAGUCGGAUGCAUCACAAAAAUAAUAAUUUCAAGUGGGCCUCUGCUGUUUGUUCUGUUAAGUGGUAAGCCACAAUGAACCAGAAAAUAUAUCACAAUAUGAAUGCUAUCAGAAUCUUAUUAUUUGUUGGGAGGGCAAACCAUGUGACUCUUUGUGAGUUAUCUCCUUUAAGGGACCCCAUUGCAGGAGCCUCUUCAUCACUCAUUCCACUUGAAAAUACUGACCAUACAGCAUUUGCUCUAUAAAUAUACCUACUCUAUGGGCAUAGAUCCACCAAGGUUCAAAGCUUUCUUAUAUUCUAAAAUCUUUGAAAUCCUUUCCCACCAUCACUUUUUGAGAAACCAAAUUUGAAACUCAUGGCCAUCCGUUUUCAGAGGAUUAUUCCUGCCAAGCAGAUCCUGAGACGCAUUCUUCCAUCUUUGGAGUCCACAAAUGUGCCAAAAGGCCAUGUUCCUGUCUAUGUUGGAGAAACUCAGAAGAAGAGAUUUGUGAUUCCAAUUUCAUACUUGAAGCAUCCUUCAUUCCAAAACUUGCUAAGUCAGGCUGAGGAAGAGUUCGGGUUUGAUCAUCCACUGGGUGGCCUCACUAUCCCAUGCAGAGAAGAAGCCUUCAUUGAUCUAACUUACAGUUUGAACUGCUCAUGAGCAAGGAGGAAGAUCUCAAAAUGGAUGGCUUCAAGCUCUCGUCUCUCUAACACCACUUACCCCAAAAUCCAGUCCCAACAAUUUUGUAUUACUGAGAAAAAGGUCUUUUUGAAGUGACAACGAUAUAGUUUUCUUCUAUUUUUCUGUAAAGCAAUUAGUUGACAGUCAAAUGUCUUCAUCUUAAUCACACAGAAAUAACCAUGUUCCUUUCUCUUCUUUUCAAAAGAAAGCAUGUUGUUUCUUUUCUCCCUUGUGAUUCCUCACUAGCCAAGAAGAUGUUUCAUUUUCUCAGUUUUUCGUCUUUCCAUUACAUCCAUCCAACAAUUGGCUUCUCCUUAUGUGUAAAGCACCAUCAUUCUAAUUUGUAAAACACCCAGCUCUGACAUUGAAAUAAAACUUCAGAUAAACAUGAAAGACGUAAGCUGCCAUCAACAUGAAAAGUAGAGAUAUAUUCAAGGAAUAUUCACAGCUGGAGGCAAAAGGGAGAACAGUAGUUAACAUUGGAAGUGAGAUACUUUAGUACACCAACUUGCAAGGCACACUCUCAUGAAGAGCACAUGAAGUGCCUCCUACUAGGCCCAAGGCAGUAGAAUCCAUUUUAAAACACAAGAUCAUUGGUUGCAGUGUUGACUUGGAAAAGUUGAAUCAUUAACAUGGCCCUUCCUCAUCUCUCUCUUUCAAUUUUUGUUGAAUAAAACUGAAUGAACGACUUAGCCCCGUGAAGAUCAAUUAAAUAUGGUAAAUAUUUAUAUAUAACUUGUAUCAACUCACUCUUACUAAUCAUGGACAUAUUAUCCAUUUUGGGACUAAAGUACCCUUAUGGUUUUAAAAUAGAUAUAGAGGAUUAAGAGUUCAUAUAUAUAUAUAUAUAUAACAUAAAAACCUUUUCCCCUAUCUGAUAUAAGAUAUUACAAUGACCCUCCAUAUAGAUACAAUAUUUUAAUUUGUUAUAUCUCGUGGGAUUAUGGGGCCAAACAAACAAACAUUCCUUGCGAAACCAAACAAACUCUCACACAAGGAUUAGGGAUCGACUCUAAUACUAUUUGUAACACCUAUUUCUAAUUGUAUAAAUAUCAUCCACUCUACACCCAAGGAACCCUUAGGGUUUUAAAACACAUUUGUAUGAUUGAGAGGAGCUCAUACAUAGAUAGUAUUAGGGAAAAAGUUUUCCUUGUUUGAUGUCGAAUAUCAAUAUCCUAUAUUAUUAUCAUUAUAUCGAUCCCACAAAAUUGUAGAACCAAACAAACAAAUACCCCUUACUCUUAAUCAUGUAAAUAUUAUCCACUUUGCACCGUAAAUACUCUCAUGACUUUAAAACGUGUCUACAAGAUUAAAAGUAAUCUAUACAUAUAUAGCACCAAGAAUUUUUUUUCCCAUUCAAUGUGGGAUAUCACAACCCCCUCCUCCAUAUAAAUACAAUGUUCUUGUGGGGCCAAACAAACUUCUACAUCUUAUGGGGCCAAACAAACUUCUACAUCAAGGUCAAGAAUAAACUCUAAUACCAUUUGUAAUUACUCACUCCUAAUUGUGUAGGUAUUGUCUGCUCUAGACUAAGACCCUUAUGACUUUAAACGCAUUUAUAGGAUUAAGAAGAGUCCAUACAAAUAUAACGUCAAGAACUUUUUUCAUUAUCCAAUGUGGGUUAUUACAACCAUCUCACCUCCCAUGCAAGCACAACAUUAUCUUUAAGUCCCAUGAGAUUACAAGGCUGAGCAAACAGACAACCCUUCUCUUGUCCCCAGUUGUCCUACCCUUGGAAAUGUUUCCACCCAGUUUUCAGUUUCAAACAUAAUCCUAUUUCUAUCCUUCUCCAUGGAUUCAAGUUCUAAAAUUCUGUCUGGGUGCUUUAUCAAAGAUGCAAUCAACAUUAGCACUUCUCUAAACAUGUAGAUUGGUUUUUGAUGAUUUUGAAGAAUCCAAACUGUAAUAGACAAGAUAAAAUGGGCACCACUUGUCUUUAAGGUUCAAAGAAGGCCAUUCAUUUGAAAUUACAUUUACAUUUACAUUUACAUAUACAUUUGAAAUCACUUCUUUUAGAUGACUACUAUUUCUACAUCAAUUACAACAAUAGGAAUAGGAUACCAAAACUAGAAAUCUUUUUAUUAAUAACCAUAAUCAUAAGUUGUUCUUUCGUGAAAUGAUGCUGAAUUUUCUCUUAGUUGAAGAUUUAGCCUUACUAGAAUGAUAGAAUCCAAAAUAUUUAAACAAGGCACGAUGGAUUUUAAUGGAGUAAGCCUUUAAAUAGAUUUGUUUUCGUUGAUAAGCUGCAAAUGGGUACUGGAAACUUAUGGCAGUAACAUUUACUAAAUGGCUGCCAGAGGAUGACAAAUAACAUAAGAAAAAGGUAAAGCUAUGCAAUUAAGAUGAACAAAUUUGGUUUUCAAUUUGUUUUGAGAAAAAUAGAAUAAAUUUACAUUGUUCUCUUGAGGAAAAAAGAACCCAACUCAUAAUUCAAAAAUUGUUGGGUUGGUUUCUGUGGUCAAUGGUGUGACAGAUUUGGUAUCCUUCAGGCUGGUCAUUAUGUGACUUUCCUCCUUGCUCAUGAGCAAUUCAAGCCACAAGUUAGAUUGAUGAAGGCUUCUUCUCUGCAUGGGAUUGUAAGUCCACCCAGUGGAUGAUCAAACCCGAACUCUUCCUCAGCCUGACUUAGCAAGUUUUGGAAUGAAGGAUGCUUCAGGUAUGAAAUUGGAAUCACAAAUCUCUUCUUUUGAGUUUCUCCAACGUAGACAGGAACAUAGCCUUUGGGCACAUUUGUGGGCUCUGGAGAUGGAAGAAUGCGUCUCAGGAUCUGCUUGGCAGGAAUAAUCCUCUGAAAACGGAUAGCCAUGAGUUUCAAACUUAGUUCUUCAAACCAAAGUGGUUGAGAGAAAUGGAUUUCUAGAUGUUUGGGAAGCAAGAAAAGCUUUGAUACCUGGUUGUUGUGGCCAUAGAAUAGAUGUAUUUAUAGAACAAAUGCAAUAAGGCCAGUUUUCUCAAAUGCAAUGAAUGGUGGAAAGACAAUUGCAAUGGGGGUCCCUUAAAGAAGAUAUAUCACAGGUCAUCACAUGGUCUUGUCUCUGAUGCUUUCAUGUAUUUGUUGGUACAUCUUGGCCUACCAUUUAACAGAACAAACAGCAUAGCCCUACCCAAAAUUAUCAUCAUUGUAUUGCAUCCCACUGAUUAUAAUGAAUCGAAUUGAUCAUGUGGACAAAAACAUAACUUGAAGGACUAAAAUGCAGACCAGACUUCUCAUAUUAAUGGACAAAAUGCUACAAACUAUAGCAGACCACAAGUACCAGAUGUGUUAUAGGUUAUGACAGUACCAAAUAUAAGAGCAGACAAGUUAUCUUCUAAUGUGAUGUUUUUUGCUACCGUACAAGUGCGAAAUUGGUGCUGAGUCCGAGUCUUCAGCCUGAAUUUAGAGAGGUGACAGAUUGAGUGAACUCAUUGAACCGACAUCAUCAUUCAAACGAUGCUUAUGUCACGACUCAAACCUACCUGAUAUCGACCAAACCCUAGAAAAACAUGAAUUGGAUAAAGAAGCCUUUUAUUUCAACAGUCAAGUAAAAUAUUUUGUGCCAUAUAUGUAUGGUAUUGUUCUCAUGAAGGAAAACCUGUUUUCUCUUAGAAAAGAAUUUUUAUAAAGGGCCAAGAAAAAAAUGUACAUGGAAUUGCAUUUCCUUCCUUACAAAGUCAUUGGUGUUUUUUCUUUUUAUUUUCUUUUGUAAGCUCUUUUAAUACAUGUAGCCCAUUCAAAUGUGAAGUAAGGUCGAGGAAGAUAUCUUCUCUGCAAGAAAUUCUGAGACCACCCAUUGGAUGAUCAAAUCCAAAUUAAUCUUCUGCCAUAUGUAGUAGCUCUUGGAAUGUAGUUGCCCAAUUGUUGAAAUAUAUCAUGUCCUCUAACUCACUGUCCAGUGCAAAUCAAUCCCAAAAUCAUAUUGCGGUCCAGGUUCUGACAUGAAGUAAUGAUUCAUGAACUAAAAUAGAACAUGGCCAGAUGCUGGAAGACAACCAAAAACUCGUACAAAUCCUCAUGCUUCUCCUAUUUCAACCAUUGGUUAGACAGGGUAAUGUCUUUCUCUUCCCUCCUGUCUGAAUUCCCAUAAAACUGAACAUAUGCUUAGCCUUCCCUCUUAAGCACUUUUCAUGCAUUUCAAUCAAGGAACUCAGUUGAAAGACUCCAUGUAUCACAGUAGUAAAUGGACAGACCACAGUGGAAUUCAUAUGUUUAUCUGGCUUACGGACCAGUUCAUCUCUGAAAAACGAGAAACAUUAGCUCCUGAAGGCUUUAUCAUCCACCCCCCAGGUGGUAAUUGCAAAUGUGUAUAUGUACACAAUAUGCCCUGCCAUUUAUUAGAGAACUACCAAAAAAAGACCACUUGAAAUCCCAGAGAUGGAGAAACCUCUUGUCGAUUUAAGAACUGUACAAAAGCUCAAUCUGUAUGUGCAUUAGAGGCAUGCCUGAGAAAUCUAAUUCCUUUCUGUCUUCAUGGGGAGGAGACACAAUGGGGACUUCAUUGGCCACAUUGAUAACUUGGCUAUUACCAUUCACUUAAUUACAGAGGUGCUGACAUCCCAUAUUAGACCCUUCAAAGCUAUGUAAUAACAAUUCAUUUUCACAGCUUGAACUUACCUUUCAAUCCAAUGACAGACUCGAACAUGAUUCUCUCCUGACAAAACAGAUACUGGCUUAGUUGAUAUGGAUGUAUUAUUAUCAUUUAGGCAUUUUGCUUUUUCCAUUUCCAAACAAAGAAACUGUGAAACAGCAAUGGCCAAGUUUCUGAGUGUUAAGAGGAGAAUACAAGGGAAUGGCAUGGUUUUUUUUUUUUCUCCAAAAAACAAAGUCAAAGUCAAAGAAAUCCUUCAUAUUCUUUAUGUGAAGCUGAAAACAGAGAUCCAUUGCUGUCAUAUGACAUCCCAGUUUUCAUUUGCUUGGAAUGUUAUCAGAAAGGGCGACCCUUCAUAUGGAAUUUGGAUAAUCUCUCUUGGAGCCCUUCAAACUUAACGACUAGAAGAAACACAUUGACAAGGACAUCUGAAUAAUAUGAUUUCCUUUAUGGAUAAUUUAUUGCAGGCAACAUCAUAACAUGAACUGAUGAUUUGUGAUUCAAUGUUAUUGUCUGAUAAUGUCAAAAGAAAUGAAUUAGUGGUAGUUUUUGUGUUUAUCAGAACACAAACAAGCUUCAGACAUUUAUCACUGGAAGGCUAUGGUUAGCCAAAUGAAUAUAGUCCCUACCAGUUGGUUGAAACAGCUAACAUUUUCAAGUGGGCUCCUCAAGUUUGUUCUGAUAAUUUUAAGCAGCAGGCCAUGACGAGUUGCAGCAAAUAAAUUUUUGGUAGUAAGACCACCGAAAUCUUAUUAUUAGUUGGUAGGCAAAACCAUGUGAUCCCUUGUGUUGAAUGUCCAUAUAUGGACCCUAUCAAAGACUUCUCUUCACACCAACCCCAUUUGAGAAACUGGCCAUACAGAAUUUGCUUGCACUAUAUAUAUUCUACUCAUCCUAAGGAUAUGGCAUUCCACUGCCAAAGUUUUCUUAUUCUAGCACAUCUCAGAGUACCAUUUUACUUACCAUUAAUUUUCUCUGAUCAUACAAGUCAUGGGUUUUCGCUUGCCUGGGAUUGUUAAUGCAAAGCAAGUCGUGCAGCAAGUGUGCAAGGGUGCAGAGGCCAAAAAUGUACCAAAAGGCUAUUUUGCUGUUUAUGUGGGAGAAGUUCAAAAGAAGCGAUUUGUGGUUCCAAUCUCAUACUUGAAGAACCCUUCAUUCCAGAACUUGUUGAGUCAGGCUGAAGAAGAGUUCGGGCUUGAUCAUCCAAUGGGUGGUCUCACAAUCCCCUGCACAGAAGAAGCCUUUAUUGAUCUUACUAGUAGUUGGAACUGCUCAUGAGAGGGGAAGAAGUUAUGCAAAUGGCUAGUCAGUAGGACAUGUAAUUUCUAACGCCAUUGACUUGUAAUCCAGUCUCUCCAAUUUUGAGUUAGGAGAACUGGGUUGUUUCAUUUCCACAAAUUGUAAAUUGUUCUAUACAUUUUUCUGUAUAGAAAGUUGAGAGUCAAAUCUCUCUACAACAAAACAUUCAAACAGAAUCUCUUGGUUUUCCUCUUUCUCAUUGAUUUUGUUUCCCCUGGUCUUCUUAUAUAAAUAGUCACCAUGUAUAUGCACAUCAAAUUUGAGAAGAGUAACAAAAAAAUCCUAGAAGCUAAGGCCUGCUUGAUGGUUUUUAGCUCCUUCACUGCAGAUACUGAUGUGCAUAGACCUGUCGUAAAUGUUUGGGCAGAAUAUGUUCAUUUUCCAUUUACUUCAACCAAAAGCUAAAUCUUCAGUCCAGGAGUUGCUUUUCAAUUACCAUGGUCAGUGAAGCAUUGGGAUCUUGUUUCUUCCUUUCUUUUUAUCUUCGAUUUUCUCGUUUUCCCCAUUCCUCGUAGCUAGCCAGAGUCUCAGCUUACUCUGUUCAAGACUAUAUUUGGAAACUAGUUACAGAUCAACCAGUUAAUAUAGAUUUUGAUAUUUUGCAAUGCAGUUUUACCAUAUAUACUGUAACUUUGAUGGGGUUAGGCCAGUUUUUCUUCCUACUUCUGUUCAGCAUCAUUGAAUAAAAAGGCAACAAAAAUUAGGGAAAAGUAGCAGAGCUGCUGAGUUGUCAUUUCAUAGUGAUAAUAUCAUCCAUUAGACUUGCACCCAGGUAUUAAAAUUAGUCCAACUGCUAGUGGAACUACUAGGAAACACUUCAUGUGCUCUUUACAAGGGUCUGUUGCAAGCUGGUGUACUAAAGCAGGUCGGUGCCAGUGAUUUUUGUUGAUGUCAUGUUGUUAACAGCAGCUUUACUUUUUCAUUCAGCUGAGAUAUACCUUGAAUAUAUGUCAUUUUCAUGCUUUUUACAGUUUGUUCCAUGUUUAUUUUCAUGAUCUAACAUAGGAUGAUAGUAACCAUAUACACGUUGUUCUUGUACAGUUCUUAAAUUGACAAUAGGCUUCUCCUGUUAGUAACUCUUGGAUUUGGAGUAGCACCUGUAUGGGUGGUUCUCUAAGAAAUGGUACGGCAUCAUACGUUGAACAUUAUGAAUAGGAAGGCGAAGCUGCAUGAUCCGUCAGAAAGUGUUGUCUCUCAAAAGAAAAGUUCCCAACCCUUUGAUCUAUAGAUACACUCAAUCUCAUAUUUAAAACCCACACAAGUCUUUGACAUUGUCUACCACCAAAGCUUUAAUUCCUUUAUCCUACAAUUCCCCCAAAAUCAUUUUCUUGUUCUUUUUCUGUAGAUAUAUAUGUUGUCUCCACUAUAAAUCAUGGACUUUUCGAUUUAUGAUUCUAUUUCUUUUCAUCUCUUAAAGAACCUCUUGACCAACUCUUACCAGAAGAACUUGGGAAGCUGAAAGCUAGUCAUUUGAGGAUUUGGGAUGAAAACAAGUUACAAUAUUGCAAGGUUUUCUACAUAAGGGAAAAAUGAAUCUUUGUUCCCUCAGGUUAAACUUGAGGCCAAGGGAUCUUUGUGUACUUGCUAUAUGCUGCAAGUCAACACUUGUGAGGCAGUUGGGUGCAUGCAACUACGAAUAACCAAUAAGCCUAUUGUUUUCCCUGCUUACAUAUCAAAUGCUAAGUUCUCUCUUUCCUUUUCCUAGAAAUACUGGCAGUAUUGAUUCUUCUAAAAGUCACUAAAUCUUCAGUAGACGGCUUGUUUUGUCCUUCAACAUGGCAGUGAAACAAAUCCCCUAUCAUAUAACUACACCAUCUAAUGGAUAAGCUAUCUUUUGGAGGAUAUAAUGUGAUGGUCAUACAAAUAACUCAAAGCCAGAGAUAUCUAGGCUUUUAAUCAUUUAUCAUUUGACAAGUGUCACACUAAGAUUCCUCAUCUCAGUUGCCAAAUAUUUAGGUUGCUGAUGGUUGUGUGUUGCAUCACAAUUGAAACAUAUGAGUUUGACCACCGCAAUGAAAGACUUUAUCUGAUUCAUGGUCUUCUGGGGUUGGUGAAUCUGCUUGAUUUGUGUCUAGACAUAGACAUCAUAGAACAAUAGCAUAUGAUAUGUUGGUAUGGUGCUUCUGUUCAAUCUUUCAUUCCCCUGAAAUUCUGGCUGAAACUCGUACUCGGCACCAACUCCUCACUCGGAUGUAACAAGAAACAUCAUCGCGUUAGAAGAUAACUUGUCUACUCAGAUGUUCAACAGGGGUGGCCUGCUAUAUUUUGAAGCAUUUUGUACUUGAAUAUAAGAAAUCUGGUCUCUGAGUUAGUCCCUGAAGUUAGGCUUUUAUCCAAAUUAUCAGAGGGAUAUACAUUGCAAUCAGUCGGAUGCAUUACAAUAAUAAUAAUUUCAAGUGGGACUAUGCUGCUUGUUCUGUUGAGUGGCAGGCCACAAUGAACCAGCAAUUACAUCACAGUAGGAAUGCUAUCAAAAUCUUAUUAUUAGUUGGGAAGCAAAACCAUGUGACUCUUUGUGAGUUAUCUCCUUUAAGGGACCCCAUUGCAGUAGUCUCUUCAUCACUCAUUCCACUUGAGAAUACUGACCAUACAACAUUUUCUCUUUAAAUAUACCUACUCUGUGGGCAUACAUCCCCCAAGUUUCAAAGCAUUCUUAUAUUCCGAAAUCUUUGAAAUCCUUUCCCACCAUCACUUUUUGAGAAACUAAAUUUGAAACUCAUGGCAAUCCGUUUUCAGAGGAUUAUUCCUGCCAAGCAGAUCCUGAGACGCAUUCUUCCAUCUUUGGAGUCCACAAAUGUGCCGAAAGGCCAUGUUCCUGUCUAUGUUGGAGAAACUCAGAAGAAGAGAUUUGUGAUUCCAAUUUCAUACUUGAAGCAUCCUUCAUUCCAAAACUUGCUAAGUCAGGCUGAGGAAGAGUUUGGGUUUGAUCAUCCACUGGGUGGCCUCACAAUCCCAUGCAGAGAAGAAGCCUUCAUUGAUCUAACUUGCAGUUUGAACUGCUCAUGAGCAAGGAGAAAGAUCUCAAAAUGGCCGGCCUCAAGCACUCUCAUCUCUAACACCACUGACAACAAUUUUGUAUCAUUGCGAAAUAGGUCUUUUUGAAGUGAAAACAAUGUAAAUUUCUUCUAUUUUUUUCUGUAAAGCAGGUUGACAGUCAAAUGUCUUCAUCUUAAUCACACAGAAAUAACUAUGUUCCUUUUUCUUUCUUUUCUCCCUUGUGAUUCCUUAUUAGCCAAAAAGAAGUUUCAUUUUUUCAGUUUUCGGUCUUUCUAUUACAUCCAUGCAACAGUUUGCUUCUCCCUCUGUGUAACGCACCAUCAUUCUAAAUUGUAAAACACUUAGCUCUGAUAUUGAAUUAAAAGUUCAGAUAAACAAGAAAGAUAUAAGCUGUAAUCAACAUGAAAAGUAGAAGACAUUCCAGGAAUAUUCACAGCUGGAAGCCAGAGGGAGAACAACAGUUAACAUGUCCCCAACAAAAAUCACUGGCAUUGAGCUACUUUAGUACAUCAACUUGCAAGGAACACUCUCACAUGAAGUGCCUCCUACUAGGGCCCAAGGCAGUAGAAUCCAUUUUAAAACAUAAGAUCAUUGGUUGCAGUGUUAAAUUGGAAAAUUUGAAUUAUUUUAAAACACAAGUGCCUCAUCUCUCUCUCUCUCUCUCUCUCUCUCUCUCUCUUCCAUUUUUUUUUUAUUAAAAUUAAGGAACAGGCUUAGCCCCAUGAAGAUCAGGUAAAUAUGGUAAAUAUGUAUAUAUAACCACUUUGAGAGACACAUUCAAAUGCUUUCAAUGCUAAUCAGAAAAAGUCAGAAAAGAUAAGGUUAUCAUCAAUAUAAACAAUUGCAGAGAAUGUAUACCAAUUAAAUGUCAUUUAUAAUAUUUAGGAAUUCCAAGGCAAUCAAAUUCUAUUCAUAAUGUCCAAGACAUACUGUGAAUGUUAUUUUAUCAUCUAUGUAUGGUAAUUGAACAAGUCUUUGAUUGAAGGUUUAGCUUUAGGUUUGCUUUGAGUGGUAAACUAAACAUUAUGACUCCCAAAUGGUUUAUUUAUCAAACCUUUGCUCAAAUUUUUGUGUUUUGGAUUGCUCAACUCAAAUUUUUUAGCUAUCUGGUAAUCUGAUCUAUAUCAACCAACAAGUGGGAACUAUAUUCAUUGAUCUACUAAGCAUAGCUCACCCAUAGCAUAUGAUAGAAACUUGUUGGUGUUCUAAAAAAAACAAAUUAUGAGCUCAUGUGAUGAUGUUGCUUGAAAUAAAUUUUCCAUAGGGGAAAUCACGUUGUUCAAAGUCCUUGUCAAGGUAUUAAACAACAAAGAUAAACAAAGGAAAAUGUAAUGGCUACCGGCAAGGAAUGGAUAUUGAUAAUAAAACAAUGCCCUUCUCCUGUCCCCAUUUGUCCUACCAUUGGAAAUGCCUCUACUUGGUUUUCAGAUUCAAACAUAAUCCUGUUUCUAUCCUUCUCCAUAGAUUCAAGUUCUAAAAUUCUGUCUAGAUGCUCAAUCAAAGAUAUAAAUCAACAUUGGCACUUCUUUAAGCAUGUCAAUUGGUUUCUGAUGAGCAUUAAAGCUCCAAAAUGGGCACCACUUUGAAUUAGGAAGGUUCAAAGAAGGCCAUUCAUUUGAAAUUACAUUUACAUUUUGACUACUAUUUCUAAUCCAUCAAUUACAACAACAAGAAUAGGAUACUAAAACUUGAUAUGUUUUUAUGAAUAACAAUCAUCAUAAGUUGUCCUUUCUUGAAAGUUGCUGAAUAUGGCCUUACCAGAAUAAUAGAAUCCAAAAUAUUUAAACUAAGUAGAUUUGGUUUCAUUGGACACUGGAAACUUAUGGCAAUAACUUUUACUAAAUGGCUGCCUGAGAAAGACAAAUAGCAUAAAAAAUAAGUUAAAGCUAAGCAAUUAAGAUGAACAAAUUUGAUUGUCAACUUUUCCAGAAAAAUGGAAUAAAUUUACAUUGUUCUCAAGACCAAAAAAGAAAAAAGAAAAAAACCCAACUCAUAAAUUCAAAAAUGCUGGGUUGGUUUUUGUGGUCAAUGGUGUCAUAGCUUUGGUAUCCUUGAGCCUGGUCAUUAUAUGAUUUUCCUCCUUGCUCAUGAGCAAUUCAAGCUGUAAGUUAGAUUGAUGAAGGCUUCUUCUCUGCAUGGGAUUGUGAGUCCACCCAGUGGAUGAUCAAACCCGAACUCUUCCUCAGCCUGACUUAGCAAGUUUUGGAAUGAAUGAUGCUUCAGGUAUGAAAUUGGAAUCACAAAUCUCUUCUUCUGAGUUUCUCCAACAUAGACAGGAACAUAGCCUUUGGGCACAUUUGUGGGCUCUGGAGAUGGAAGAAUGCGUCUCAGGAUCUGCUUGGCAGGAAUAAUCCUCUGAAAACGGAUGGCCAUGAAUUUCAAGCUUAGUUCUACAAACUAAAGUAGUUGAAAGAAAUGGAUUUCUAGAUGUUUGGGAAGCAAGAAAAGUUUGAUACUUUGUGGAUAUGCCCGUAGAAUAGAUGUAUUUAUAGAACAAAUGCUAUGUGGCAAGUUUUU
rnacentral:lncRNA from 1 species